UUCCUGGGUUCUGGGAGGGUUAGGUUGUAUUUUCAUCCUUUCAUUGCCCACUUCUUCUCUUGUUAAUAGUUCUAAUUUUAGAACUGGGAAGGCUAGAGGUCAGUUUCUCCUUGGCUCGGAAGGCCUUGGUACUGUUGUCUAAGUACCAUGAUCUGAACUGCACUCACUCGUUCUCUAACAAAGGCAACAAACCGAUUAAUUAAGCAAGGCCCAACUGUUCAGUGGGGACUCAUCCAGAGGUUGUAUUGAAAUCAGAGGGAUUAGGAGAUGGCCUCUGUCCUUGGAUUGGAGGUCCUUGUUCGGUUAACACCUUAUUCGGUCCUACAGCAACCGGAGGUUCCAUCUGAGUUUCUAUUCUGAGGCGAAUAGUUAGAAUAGAUCCUUCUCCUCCCCAAGAGCCUCUAUAGUACACUACUCCCCAAGACAUACCAUUUAUCCACUUUUGAAUAUUUUCUCGUUUUCCUUUUUCAGUGAAACUUAUUUUCAGGUAAUCUAGGUCUGACGGGGAGCAGCUUAUUUGCCUGUUUUGUGUCUGUCUCUGCCAAUCUUUCCAUCUCCCAUGGCCGUAAUUAAAUUGAUUAUAACUGGUAUAACUGUUAACAAAAGAGAAAGUUACUCUAUCUUGCCGAGAGGUUGGCCAUUUCCAAUACCCAUCAUUAGAGGUUACACAGCUCCAUUUCUUGCAAAAGAAAUCCCUGGGAUUUCCACAAUAUUCUUCAUUAUUUGGGGGUCCUGGACAAACAUAAAACCCAUAAGCACGGAGUAUAUCAGGGGGUGUGGACAUGGUGUUAAGACCAGGGAUUACCAAUCGAAGGCAGACAUGUAGCUCAGGCCACCAGGUCCCUAAGGGAGCUUCCCUUUGAGUGCUGUUAAUAGUAAUACCUGUACUGGAAUCAGUAAGUAGCCAGGUGAGAGAUAAGGGUUUAGGGGAGGUCAGGCUGUCCACAAGGCGUUUACUACUGGCCUGGGGAGUUAUUGUUAGAGUAAGGAACCAGGCGAUGGAGGCGAAGCUUAAGGGAAUUCUCAGUCUUUUCGGCUCUCCACCCCGAGUUGGGAGGUGGCGCCGGCUUAACGUGGGACGCAUGGAUCCAGGUGGAGAUUCCUUCGACUUUCACAGCCGUUGGUGUGGUCAAAAGUACGAGAUAAGGGCCCUUCCACCGAGUCUCAAGGUUUCCCGCACGGUGGCGUCUAACAUAGACUGAAUCUCCCACUUGGAAGCGAUGUGG
rnacentral:lncRNA from 1 species